AUGUGGGCAACUUCCCCUGCCAGUGGCCCCGAACUUUUCUGCAAAGUUGCAGAAAAUGGCCAGCAGGCCUCCUGGUUGUUUCAGGUCAGAAUUCAUAGUCUUCUUUGGCCUGUUUCUUGUCUAAGGAAGGCCUCUCAUUUUCAGGUCAACUGCAGGGCAAAGAUGACUGACCAGUGAUCAAGUCCUUCUUGGAUCAGAAAUGAAUGAUGGCCCACAGAUUGCCAAGGAAGAGAACAGAGAGAGGAAAGAGAAGGCUGAGUACAGAACCUUGGCAAGCACCUCCAUUUAUGUGUGGGAAGAAUCAAGAGUUAGCAGAGGAGAUAGAGAAAUAGAGGCAGCAAUCUCUACUUUCAUAAGUCCUGGCCAAAAGAUAACAGAACAGCACCCUGGAGAUAGACUCGACCAAAAGAACAACAUGAUUGUGUCAAUAAAGAAUGAACUGCUAGUCUUUUUGGAAAUUACUUUCUGGUUUUCCUCUCCCAUUUUC